UAAAAAGGUGGCUUUUAUAAUUCCCUCAACAAAAAAAUGGCUUUUAUGAUUGCUUAAGCAGUGCACAGUAAAACAACCUACAAACGUUGCUAAUCCACAUCUCGCAGCGUGGGAGACCCAUCAACGUAGCGCACCCUAAACGGAGCCGUUUCUUCGAGUGGAAGCAUUAACCAACAACAAUGAGCAAUUCUGCCGCCGGAACCUCAUCAAAACAAAGAGCAGCUUCCUCACAACCACCAGACACUUCAUCCAAGCGCAGAAGAGGAGUUUUCCAAAGAGAAUUGCAGCACAUGAUGUAUGGCUUCGGAGAUGAUCCUAAUCCACUUCCUGAAAGUGUGGCGCUUAUGGAUGACAUCGUUGUAGAAUAUAUUACAGAACUGGUACAUAAAGCACAAGAUAUUGGAUCACAGAGGGGGAAGCUAUCAGUUGAGGAUUUCCUCUAUUUGAUUCGCAAGGCAAUAAGCAUGCUAUGUCACAGUGGCCUGCAAUGGUGGUUUAAAGUUAAUAGUUGGGAAGUUGUUAGUUGUUAGUUAGUUACUGGUAUUAGUCUCCAAUUCAAUUUUUAUACGAGUCUUUAAAGGUCUUCUACAGAGAAUUCUUUCUCAAGUAGGAUAUUCCCAAGCUUCUAUAAGCCAAAGUCGGUAUUAAUGGUUCUUAAACUUCAAACCUGUGAAUCAGUUCCUAAUCCUAAAUAACCUGUAUUGGUUCAAUAAUCGGUUAUCUAAUGUAUCUGUCAAAUCUGAGGUUAGGAUCUAUAAUCUUGCCUUAAAUCGCUUAACUCUUUGGAUCAACAGGGUAAUUGUAUGGUACAUUAUUCAUUAACAAUGAAUAUGGGCACUGUUAGCACUAUAAUAGCCGGACUGCUGGACACAGUUCUGUUGUUGACUAUACGCUGCCAACUUCCUCAUCUUAAACUUGAUUGACCAUGGUGCUGUCCUUUGGACCCCACUCAUGCAUAAUUAUGCUGUACAUAUAUCUCUUGUUUUGAUUGUACAUUUUUGUUGAGAUUUCCCUCCCUUCUUCCAUAGGCUUUAUAGUUCUAGGACAAUUUAUCAGAUUAACAUUAGAUCUCUUAUCAUUGAUCAAACUUUGGGUUGAGUGAACUUUGUCUUUUGAGGAUUAAUAAGUGCUACUAAUGAAGCUAAAUGCACCAUAAGAUGCUAAGAUUAUGUGUUGCAGCCUCCUUGCAGAGGAUAUGCCAAAACUUAACCGUUGUACAGAACUGUUGUCUAUGAAUGAAGAGCUAAAACAAGCAAGGAAACUUUUUGAACAUGAUGAAGAGAAUCUGAGGAAGGUUUUUGAGGUGGAUGAACCAGCAGAAGGAUGAAUGGUUGAGAUUAUUGAACUGCAACGAAGCUGUAUUCUAGAUUGUCACUGACAUGUUCUCACCUUGUUGACUAUCAUGUAUUUCACUUUUGAGAGCAACUUUAUUUGAUCUUCAUACUCGAAUAUAACGUGUAUAUAUAAUGCCACAUAACUCGUUCCAGCAGUUUACUAGCAUGUUUGAAGUUGUGUUCAAACUCUUUCAAAACACGUUUGCUCUAUUCUAACAUGAUUUUGGUUAAAAAUUA